UGUUUACCUGCAGGUCCAGAUACUUGUUUGAAAGUCCUUGCAUCAUGUGAUCGAUACCCCCAAGGUAAAGCCUGGACUUUUAUUUAUGCUAAGAAAUUAGGUUGGUAGAGGGGAAUGACAGACAAAAUUUGCUAAGUUGUUGGCUAGAUGAAUUUGGUUGCUAAGCUAGGAUAUGGUAUAAUGUGCUUUUGUGAUUAGGACUUCUUAGAUGUGGAUUGCAAUAUUGUAGAGGUUAUGAUUCUAGGUUUUAAAUCAUGUGAGUCUCUGCUGUUUUAAACAUCUUUCAGAGAGACUGUCUGUUUGUUUUGCUUGAGGACAAGCAAAAGGGUAAAUCUGGGGGAUAGACUAUGGAUUUAACCCAUUUUCAUCCAUAGUUUAUAGGUGUUUUUACUAAUAA
rnacentral:lncRNA from 1 species